UACGUAGGGGGCUAGCGUUGUCCGGAAUCAUUGGGCGUAAAGAGCGUGUAGGCGGCCCGGUAAGUCCGCUGUAAAAGUCAAAGGCUCAACCUUUGAAUGUCAGUGGAUACUGCCGGGCUAGAGUCCGGAAGAGGCGAGUGGAACUCCUGGUGUAGCGGUGGAAUGCGCAGAUAUCAGGAAGAACACCGAUUGCGAAGGCAGCUCGCUGGAACGUUACUGACGCUGAGACGCGAAAGCGUGGGGAGCGAACAGG
rnacentral:rRNA from 1 species